AUGGAGUUGCUCCUUCUCCCUUCCCGUGCCACCGUCUCCCGCCGGCUCCAGCCAACCGCUCCACUCCGCCGCGCCAGCGCGGCCACCUUCCGGCCGUCGGCCAGCUCCGGCAAUGUCGAGGCCACCACCGACGCCACGGCGACAACGUCGGUAGCCAAGACCGGCCAAGAAUGGCGCGCGGGCGGCCGGCAGGGCCAAUCACCGUUCGGGCUCGGCCUGGACCUGUCCGAGGAGAUGAGGCGCGGGAUGAUGUGGCGGAUGCUGGCCUUCCCCGCGGCGGCGGUGGCGGCAGAGGCCGCGCUCCUGUGGGCGCUCGACAGCGGCGUCGACGCGCCCGCGUGGGCCAGCAAGGCGGGGUCGGCCGUGCUGUUCGCUGCGGGGCUGCUCGGGUCCCAGUACGGGUUCUUCUCCUCGAGGUGGGACGCGGCGGAGACGGGGUCGGUGGUGGGGUGGGAGCUCGCCGCCCGGCACUGGAACGCGCUGUCCAUGGCCAGGGGUUCGUCCAUGGAAGAGGAAGAUGAGGAGGACGACGAGGAGUGGGAGUGGGUGUACGAGGAAGACGAGGAUGAAACUGACGAUUAG
rnacentral:rRNA from 1 species